ACCUUGCUGACAAGUGCCAAAUAGCACGAAAUUCGAGUCCAAGGU
rnacentral:hammerhead_ribozyme from 1 species